rnacentral:rRNA from 1 species
AUUGAACGCUGGCGGCAUGCUUUACACAUGCAAGUCGAACGGCAGCGCGGGCUUCGGCCUGGCGGCGAGUGGCGAACGGGUGAGUAAUGCAUCGGAACGUGCCCAGUAGUGUGGGAUAGCCCGGCGAAAGCCGGAUUAAUACCGCAUACGACCUGAGGGUGAAAGCGGGGGACCGAAAGGCCUCGCGCUAUUGUAUCGUCCGAUGUCGGAUUAGCUAGUUGGUGGGGUAAAGGCUUACCAAGGCGACGAUCCGUAGCUGGUCUGAGAGGACGACCAGCCACACUGGGACUGAGACACGGCCCAGACUCCUAAGGGAGGCAGCAGUGGGGAAUUUUGGACAAAGGGGGCAACCCUGAUCCAGCCAUGCCGCGUGCGGGAAGAAGGCCUUCGGGUUGUAAACCGCUUUUGUUCGGGAAGAAAUCCUCUGGGCUAAUACCCCGGGGGGAUGACGGUACCGGAAGAAUAAGCACCGGCUAACUACGUG